CGUGGGCAAUCUGCCCUUCGAUGGGGAAUAACCUCGCGAAAGCGAGGCUAAUUCCGCAUAAAAUUCCGAUGACCUUGGUCCUUGGACUCAAAGCCGUAAGGCGUCGAUGGAGGAGCCCGCGCACGAUUAGCUAGUUGGUGAGGUAACGGCUCACCAAGGCUAUGAUCGUUAGCUGGUCUGAGAGGAUGGCCAGCCACACUGGAACUGAGACACGGUCCAG
rnacentral:rRNA from 1 species